rnacentral:misc_RNA from 1 species
GCAUACUGUCUUUUCUUGUCCUCGAUUGCCAACGCUGCUAAGGCUUUAUCAGGAGGUAAGUCUUGAUAGCUUCUCAGAGUAUCAAGAAUUGGUUUUGUUUUCUUCUCCAAGUCUUUCUUAUGCUCUGCCAUCUCGACCAAUACCCCGUGACUUAUCUCUGGGGUGUAACCAACACGAUUGAGCACAGCCUUAUAAUAACCAUACUCCUGCAAAUACUGCCUCUCU